rnacentral:lncRNA from 1 species
CUUGCCCCUUACUACUUCCACCCACGCCAAAAACCCUCUAAAAUUACAUCUUUUUUCCCUUCUCUCAACCAUCCCAAACUUCUUAUUCUUCUUCAUCACCUGCAUAUAUGCUCUUUCUGUUUUAUCUUUUGGGAAGUGGGUCGUUCAAUUUCUUUUUAUCAAUGCAUUCCAUCUCCAAAACCUCAUCCUCAUCUUCAUUGCCUCAGUCCUCACUGUUAGAAAAAAUGUUAUUCGGCCAAAUCUAGAAUUCAAAGAAUAAUUUCAUUCAUCAACAAUAAACUGAAAUGACAUAAACGAAAUGCAGAAAUUAAAAUACAAAACAGAAGUUAGAGAUACAACUGUAAAUUAGGUCAAGUCCUCUGCUUUCGCAUCUCCUUCGCAAGAUUCGCCGCCUACCGAGGGUGUUGUAGGUUUUUAUCUCGACGUCUUACUCCCAGUAUAAAUGUGGCUGAAAACAGCUUACUCGAAACACCUCGACGCAGUCCUUGUCGACUGAAUACAAACGUCUGUCGCUCUUUUUCUCUCAAGACUCAAAUUGCAACAAAAUAUGGUUUUUGUUUUAUUCUUCUUGGCUUGCUUUUCCAAUGCCAAGCCUUAGAAUUUUAUAGGAAUAAUGCUCCUUCAUCCUUGUACGCCUAUCCAUAACCCCUCAUCAUGAGAGUGGGUAUGGCUACCAUUGAUAACAAUAACAGCUUUAAAGCUGUUUAUUGGCUUCACUAAACCCUAGUUUUAGGGCUUUUAUGACUGCCCUUGGGCUACUUCAACAGCUCCCUUUGGAGUUGUUAAAUCCAGCCCAUUUGGCUUUCAAUUCCCACCAUAUUUCCACACAAUUCCCCCCAUAAUGAAUUCAAUCAGACCGUACUCAAAUCGACACCAGAGACUCAAGAGAGGUGUGAAGAGACAACGAUAAUUCCUGCAUAGGAUGGUCGCUUUUGGCCUUGAAACCUUCUCUUGUGAGAGUCUAUAUAAUUUAUUGCAGACAAUGGACGCCCCCCGCCUUGAACUGUCCCGUCGUCGGUUUUAAUUGAGAACAAUAACGUCACAUAGAACUUCUCCUGACGUAGUUCAGUUCUCACGUUGUGUCCUUUUGGCCUUGGACACCUUCCUCCCUUCCUACCCGUCCUGGUUCUGCAAGUAUUUCUCAAAAUUUUUGCCUUCUCAAAUUUUUCAAAGAAGGCGGCCGCUCCCAACUUCAUACUCACAUAGGUGACUUUUUUUUUAUCCAUGGAUAUUUUAAUUAUACCCAUCCUGACUCACCAGCACAAAAGUCAUUAAAAGUAAUGCUUAACCUUAUCACAAUCCCUUUGCAUCAUAGAAUGGUAAAAAUUUUUCCACAGUGAUUAUAUACCGAUAUAACGCAAGUAGGUUGUCCCUUGAAUCUCGAUCUUGGGAUCGUCCAGUCAACUAGGUAGGUUUUCCUUCACGAUAUCUUUUUCCGUCAUAGGCUUUAAAAAGUGCAUUCCUUUCGAUGCUUGAUCAACUAACUCUCUGGGUAACCCUUUGUUAACGGAUCCGCAUAUUGUCAAUUUGACCUCACAUAGUCAUAGUAACAAGCCCACUUGCGAGUAGUUAUCAAACUCAUUUAAAUAUAUUAAAACUCCAAUUAUACAAGAAACUCCAACUGGGAUAACGCCUUCCCUCAUUCGUGGAUAGUGGAGAUUUACCUCUAUAGGAGUCCUUUUCCACAUUUGGAUCAGCCUGUUGACUUUCUCUAGAAUCUUAUCAAUAUAGUUGUCUGAACAACCCAAGUUCGUUAGAUGGUCUGGUGAUCCUUCACACACCCAUAAUCAAUUUGCUAGGUACAUAUCCUUCACGUGGUGAUUCUCUUCACCAUUCUUCUUAUAUAGAUAAUUUGUUUCACAAUUUCAUCCUUUCUCUUUAGCAAAUAACAUAAUUAGUAUUUAUUACAAUCAUUCUAUGAAAGUAAUAAAAGAUUUGUUCGCAUUGGUGUUUAAAAAUCUGUCAAAUUACACACAUUGGUGUAAAUUAACCAAUUCCCAAUGGUUCAGUACUUCUCUUUCAACCGAAUGAACAAGACCCAGUUAAACUUUGUUUCACAACACAAGUCUCACACUUUUUUGAUUUUUUACUCUUUUGCCUCUAUCGAGGCAGAUCCAACAGUACAGGCAACACAACCACAUGAGCGUGUGUCUGGCUGAGUGAACAGGUUUUUCAACUAACCAAUCACUUCAGGCCGACCACAUAAUCAACCUAGUUCAAGCCAUCACUGACGAAUAAUCCGAACACAUAUAAGAAUCUCUCGUGCAAAAUCAUACGAAAUCUGUAAAAUCAUGGCAUAAAAACCGAGUGAUUACUCCAGAUUAUGAUCAAUUUAAUGUUCACAAAGCCAGUCCGCACAACGCCUAAGUCCUGUAGCCUCUCAACUCAACAACUUUUUUUGAAAAAAUCAAAGUAAACCACGCACGGGGUUACCACGGGCAAAAUUGCAAAUUUAGGAAAAUAAGGGUUAAACUUCAUUACCCAAAAACUCUAGGUCAAU